rnacentral:rRNA from 1 species
CCUACGGGAGGCAGCAGUGGGGAAUAUUGGGCAAUGGAGGCAACUCUGACCCAGCAACGCCGCGUGAAUGAUGAAGGUCUUCGGAUUGUAAAGUUCUGUGAUGGGGGAUGAACACAAUGACGGUACCCCAAUAGCAAGCCACGGCUAACUACGUGCCAGCAGCCGCGGUAAUACGUAGGUGGCAAGCGUUAUCCGGAAUGACUAGGCGUAAAGGGGGCGUAGGUGGUUUAGUAAGUUGGCGGUGUAAUUCCGGGGCUCAACCUCGGCGCUACCGCCAAAACUAUUAGACUAGAGUGCAGGAGGGGUAAGUGGAAUUCCUAGUGUAGCGGUGGAAUGCGUAGAUAUUAGGAGGAACAUCAGGGGCGAAGGUGACUUACUGGACUGUAACUGACACUGAGGCACGAAAGCGUGGGGAGCAAACAGGAUUAGAUACCCGGGUAGUC